rnacentral:SRP_RNA from 1 species
UCGUGCUAGGCGGGGCGCUAGGGGUGCCCUGAACCCGAAAUCCUCUUGAUGCGGGGCUGAGUCCCCCGCCCGAGGAUUCGCAUGGUCGGGUCGAGCGCCGGACACGUGGUGUUGAAGGCCGGGUCCCACGCGGCGGGGAAUCGUGAAUCGGGUCAGGUCCGGAAGGAAGCAGCCCUUAGCGAGGCACCCGGGUGCCGUGGGGUCGCCUGGCUGGAGCCGUCGAUCCGGAACGCGCCGGUUGUGCGGGUUCGAGGGCGGGGAGCACGA